rfam:Nasonia vitripennis chromosome 1, whole genome shotgun sequence.
GUUACGGCGCGGCUCGUCACAGGGCAACUUUGCUUACCUUAUUCUAAUUGCAAGCUGCCCCCUGAUGGGCAUCGCCGUGAA